GGGCUGGUAGCUCAGUGCCAGAGCACACGCUGGAUAAGCGUGAGGUCGGACGGUUCAAAUCCUCCCCGGCCCACCA
rnacentral:tRNA from 1 species